CGUUCAUUCACAGCACCAAAUCAAAGGAGCUAAACCUAGCAUUCCCCUCUCCGUCGACGAGCUUCUUCUUCUCCUUUCCUCACCCACAGCACCACCGUCGGCCACCCUAACCGCCGCAGCUACCUUUUCCUUCUUCUCCUCUUUUUUAAACACUGAACCAGUAGAACACAGCCCCUGUCUCUCUCCUUCUUUCUCGUUCGCAGAACAAAGCAACCUCAAGCUCCACCACCACUGCCCCUCAAGCUCGCAUAUCUUCUCAGCGCUACAGCCAUCAUCUCCUCCAGUCAAUGCCGCGGCUACCUUCGCGCAAGCCCUAGCUUCAUGGCGACCAAAAUCGGUUCCUCCGCAGCCGUGGUUCCACCUCUCUCUUUCCCCCUGUUCGAACCGUAGAGACCAGGUUUUGGUUUCAAAAUUCUUUUAAUUUCUGUUGAGUUCAAUUAAUUUUGUUUAGUUAGUUUGAUUUUAGUAAUUACUUUAGUUAGAUUUGUUUUCUGAUUAUUGGAUUUUUAGGUUGUUAAAAUAGAAUUAGAUUAGGUUUUGAUUCUGAAUAGCUGAGAAAUAGGAUUAGAUUAGGUUUUCUGUUUUCACUUUCCUUUCUUGCUGGGGUUGGUACCUGGUAGCAGGUAGGUUUCUACUUUCUACUAAUUCAGGUAAAGACCUUGAAGGCUUUGAAAGAGGAAUAUAUUGUUCACUGAUUCAGGUAAAGUCUUCACAGCUAUAUAUACUUUUCCACCUGCACCUUUUCCAUCUGUUUCUUUCAGAGGCAAGUGUUAAUGUAGCCAUAGCACGCAAAUAGAUACAUUAUGAUUACCAUGUGCUUCUUGAUUAUCUAAUUUCAAAGGAUAUUGGAAUAAACUGUGCUAAAUAUCUUUUGAGAAUCUUUGUUGCCACUUGGAAUGUAGCAGGGAAGUCACCUCCAAGUUAUUUGAACUUUGAAGAUUGGCUUCACACCUCUCCACCCGCUGAUAUCUAUGUUCUUGGUUAGAGAUCUACAUGGAGAUCUUAAGUUGGCUAGAUCUGCACUUGAAAUGGCUGGUGUAUUGAGUUCUGAUGAUCAAGACUUAUGGACUGGUGGGGAAACGGUUAAUGGGAAUGAAAUUGCUUCAAUAUCACUUCUAACAUAGCAAAAUAAGUUCUGGAUUCUGGAGUCUUUUCCUUGUCUUCAUGAUAAAGUUCUCCAAGCUGCUGUUGAUGUUAUUGUGAGCCAAUCUCCAAGCCAAAAUGAAAGGUGAUAAGUCUAAAUUGCUUCCUCUUUGGUGACAGGCAAAGAUGGUGUUUCUGCAGCAAAGGUUGCUGCAGUGGCACAUCCGUUAGCUGAAAAAGCUGAAGAGAUUGCUUCCAAUAUCAGUUACCAUGCUCAGUUCAGUCCUCAUUUUUCCCCUCUCAAGUUUGAGCUAGAGCAAGCUUACUAUGCCACUGCUGAGAGUGUUCGAGAUCGUUUCAUAAGGGAAAAAAGUGUUGCCACAAUUUCACAUAUGCGAAAAGUUCACUGGUUUGAGAAAUUUAAUUGGUUCAUUAGCAGUGAGAACUAUUUGAUUAUUAGUGGACGUGAUGCCCAACAAAAUGAGAUUAUAGUGAAGCGAUAUAUGUCAAAAGGAGAUCUGUCUCUUGUUUGUCCAGCUUCAGCAAUCUGGAGAAGCUCGACCUUAAACUCAACAACCUAACUUCACUAGAGGGGUUGAGGUCAUGCGUUAAUUUGAAAUUGUUAUCCGUUUUGGAGAACAAAUUAGAAACCUUGGAAGGAAUUCAAGGGCUUACUAAGCUCACUGUUUUGGAUGAGUGGGAUCGCAGUCGAAUAUUAUCUCCUUACAAGAAAAUUCUUCAGUGGAUUGAGAAUACAAGAAAUGUCAAAGUAAUAAAUUUGUGGCAUAUUGUGGGCUUUGUUCUAUAUGCAAGUCAGGAAGAAAUAGUCUCUCCUCCCUAGUAGGUCUGUCCUUUUCAUGGGUGGCAUUAUCUUCAAGGUCUAGUGACUCUUUGAAGUUUCGCACUGCCAUCAGUGUUUUAAGGCAUGUGCGUGAUAAUCUUUCUUUUCCUUUUUCAUUCUUUGUUGGAUAUUAGAACCAAAUUGUGCCUAAGGGAUAGUCUAUACCGUUUGGCUAAGAGUGCCGAGCAAAGACAUAAUGACUCAAUUGCAAAUGGUUGCACCGGAGAUGAUCAAGCAUGCAAAUCAAUGGUGCCACAUAAUGGUAGCAGGUGUAUGAGAUUCAUGGAUAUGGAAACUGACACAAACCCCAUUGAUCGAUCUAUAGCACACUUACUGUUUCAUAGGCCCCGUGAUCAACCAAUGUCGCAUCCUUAUGAUACUAUACCUUUCAAAUCCAGUGCCACGAUAUGCUUUCAUUAAUUCUUAACAUGUUUAAAUGAAUGAAGUAGAAUAUAAUCGUUUGAUCCUUGCU